GGAUUUCAUCCAUCAUGUCCAUGAUUAUUAAGGUUUUUUCUCUGUAAGUUUCAUACAGCAUGGUUCAGGGCAACCAAAAUGAGCUUCACAUGUUAGUUCAUGUGGUUAAUCAAAAAGAUCGUCUGUGUGACUGGUGAACACUUUAACCACUAGGCCACCCAAACAUAUAAAAUUCAGAGCACUGUCUCUUGUACAGAUUUUGCAACUGAAACUACAUGUAGACCUAAUACAGAUACUUAUGUAAAUAUAUGUUUUUCACAUUAGAGCUUUAGAAAACGAAUCUGUUGGUAACCAAGGAAGCAGUUUCAGUAUUAGAAAUGAAUACAGGAAUGGUAACUACUGAUGGCUGGGAAGGAUGUCAAUGAUGAAACGUGCCUUGAUACUGGGCAACAUGACAAUGUCAGCUAUAAAUAAGAGAUGGGAAAGUGUGUGUUA